GAUGAACGCUGGCGGCGUGCUUAACACAUGCAAGUCGAACGGAAAGGCCAGUGCUUGCACAGGUACUCGAGUGGCGAGAGGGUGAGUAACACGUGGGAGAUCUGACUUGUACUUCGGGAUAAGCCUGGGAAACUGGGUAUAAUACGGGAUAGGACAGUGGUUUGGGUGGGGUUGUGGAAGGGUUUUGCGGUGUGGGAUGAGCGGGCGGGCGUUCAGCUUAUUGGUGGGGUAAUGGCGGACCAGGGGGUCGACGGGUAGGCGGCCCGAGAAGGUGGACGGUCACAUUGGGACUGAGAUACGGCCCAGACUCCCACGGGAGGCAGCAGUGGGGAAGAUUGCACCAUGGUCGCGAGCCUGAUGCAGCGACGCCGCGGGGGUGAUGACGGCCUCCGCGUUGUAAACUCCUUUCGCUACGUGCGUAGCGUGUUUGUGACGGUACCUGGAGAAGAAGCACCGGCUAACUACGUG
rnacentral:rRNA from 1 species